GAAAAUGGAACGUCGCCGGGCGUCGGAAGCAGGUGAAAGUCCUGCGCGGCCCCGCCACUGUAACCCCUGACGAAGCGGUAUUACGCUCACUGAAGGUCUUGUGCCCUUUGGGAAGAGUCCGCGCAGGAAGAAGGGGAGUCAGGAUACGCGCCGGGCGACGCGAAGGAAG
rnacentral:ncRNA from 2 species